AACGAACGCUGGCGGCAUGCUUAACACAUGCCAGUCGAACGAUACCUUCGGGCCUAGUGGCGCACGGGUGCGUAACGCGUGGGAACCUGCCCUUAGGUUCGGAAUAACUCCCCGAAAGGGGUGUUAAUACCGGAUAAUGUCUUCGGACCAAAGAUUUAUCGCCUUUGGAUGGGCCCGCGUUGGAUUAGCUGGUUGGUAGGGUAAAAGCGUACCAAGGCGACGUUCCAUAGCUGAUCUGAGAGGAUGAUCAGCCACACUGGGACUGAGACACGGCCCAGACUCCUACGGGAGGGAGCAGUGGGGAAUAUUGGACGAUGAGGGAAAGCCUGAUCCAGCAAUGCCGCGUGAGUGAUGAAGGCCUUAGGGUUGUAAAGCUCUUUUACCCGGGAUGAUAAUGACAGUACCGGGAGAAUAAGCGCCGGCUAACUCCGUG
rnacentral:rRNA from 1 species